rnacentral:rRNA from 1 species
GUGAACCUGCGGAAGGCUCAUUG